UACGUAGGGUGCGAGCGUUAUCCGGAAUUAUUGGGCGUAAAGAGCUCGUAGGCGGUGUGUCGCGUCGGCCGUGAAAACCUGGGGCUUAACUCUGGGCGUGCGGUCGAUACGGGCAUCACUGGAGUUCGGCAGGGGAGACUGGAAUUCCUGGUGUAGCGGUGAAAUGCGCAGAUAUCAGGAGGAACACCCGUGGCGAAGGCGGCUUCCUGGGGCCAUCCUGACACUGAGAAGCGAAAGCUAGGGGAGCGAACGGG
rnacentral:rRNA from 1 species